AUGAAAGGGAGGAGAUGGCCUGAUAAUACUAGUUGCUCUUUUUGUAACAACCUAGAAACAUCCCAACAUUUGUUCUUCACUUGUCUUGUUGCUAAAGUUGUGUGGAGUUGUAUUGGGAUGACAUUGGGCACAUAUAGUUGUCCAAACAACUACUGGCAAUAUUACUCUUGGUGCAACACUUUUCUCCCUGUCGGAGAGAAGUAUUAUACCCUCGGCUUGGCUGCCGCGUGUUGGGCUAUCUACUUGCUCGCAAUUGGGCUACUUUUGAGAAAAAACAAAUCAAAACACCUUCCGAGAUUGUUUUCUCCAUGUGUUCCUUUCUCAUUUAUUGGACAGGUCUUCAGAGUGACGGAGGAGCCAAGGAGCUGCGGGGAGGCGCAGAGAUGA
rnacentral:rRNA from 1 species